GACGAACGCUGGCGGCGUGCUUAACACAUGCAAGUCGAACGGAAAGGCCUGCUUUCCCUUGUGGAUUGCGGGUACUCGAGUGGCGAACGGGUGAGUAACACGUGAGUGAUCUGCCCCCAACUUGGGUAUAAGCCUGGGAAACUGGGUCUAAUUCCCGAUAGGACUGCAGGGUGGUGCCUGUGGUGGAAAACGAUUUUCUAGUGGUUGGGGAUGAGCUCGCGGCCUAUCAGCUUGUUGGUGGGGUAAUGGCCUACCAAGGCGGCGACGGGUAGCCGGCCUGAGAGGGUGGACGGCCACAUUGGGGCUGAGAUACGGCCCAGACUCCGACGGGAGGCAGCAGUGGGGAAUAUUGCACAAUGGGCGGAAGCCUGAUGCAGCGACGCCGCGUGGGGGAUGACGGCCUUCGGGUUGUAAACUCCUUUCGACCGCGAGGAAGCCACCUGGUUGGAAGGGUGGUGACGGUAGUGGUAGAAGAAGCACCGGCUAACUACGUG
rnacentral:rRNA from 1 species